GACGCUGGUGGGAGGCUAAAGUUCGACAGGGAUUAAUUGCUAAGACAGACAGCAGACAUCUGUGUCAUGGGAAAUGGAAACUGUUUGAGGCUUAAUUUAUAUCAAGGGAAGAUCUGACUUGCACACUGAACUUUUUGUUCUGCGUUCAGAAGUUUCUCUGGGUUCUAAGGGGCAAAAAUUCUGCUUUCUGUGUGAUGUUUUUCAGUUAAGGUAAAUGAUAUUGAAGCUGAAACCUUGAAGAAGUUCAAUGAGUUGGUAAAAGAAAAGAAGAUUGAAGAUAAAAAUGUUUUGAAGAUCAUUGAGACUGGUAAUGGAAUUAUACUUUUUCCUAAAUAUAUAAUUUCCUUGACAUGUAAAUAUACUAACAGAAAACAAAUCAAUUUAUUCAAAUUUUCUUUGUUCAUAGAUAAAGCUUUUCAUAAUCCCUUAUUUAAAAAAAAAUAAAAACAGCCUUGGAAAUCCAGGGAAAUGGUAGUAAUUGGUGGAUCAUUUCUUUCUGUCCUUUUGAUUUUCCACUAGAUGAGUGUCCUCCCUGUGCAAAACUACAGAGUUCAAAACAAGCUGAGUAAAGAGUCACUGAGACCAGACACGUCAUCUUCUGCGCGGAAUCAAGAUCAACAACAUGAAGACGACUUUCCUGGUUCCUGAUGAAUGUGAUCCUUCUCUCUUCACACUCAUACUUCCUCUCC
rnacentral:lncRNA from 1 species